rnacentral:rRNA from 1 species
ACUCAAAGGAAUAGACGGGACCCCGCACAAGCAGUGGAGCGUGUGGUUUAAUUCGAAGCAACGCGUAGAACCUUACCAGGGCUUGACAUUACGGUGAAGACCCUAGAAAUAGGGAGAUACUGUGGCAACACAGGCACCGUAACAGGUGUUGCAUGGUUGUCGUCAGCUCGUGUCGUGAGAUGUUGGGUUAAGUCCCGCAACGAGCGCAACCCCUAUCUGAUGUUGCUACCGGGUAAUGCCGGGCACUCAUCGGAGACCGCCGGAGACGAUUCGGAGGAAGGUGGGGACGACGUCAAAUCAUCAUGGCCCUUAUGCCCUGGGCUACACACGCGCUACAAUGGUCGGUACAACGGGCAGCUAAGGAGCGAUCCCAUGCGAAUCCCUUAAAGCCGAUCUCAGUUGGGAUUGGAGGCUGAAACUCGCCUCCAUGAACACGGAAUUGCUAGUAAUCGUGGAUCAGAUACGCCGCGGUGAAUACGUUCCCGGGGUUUGUACACACCGCCCGU